rnacentral:rRNA from 1 species
UCCGUAGGUCCCGAGCGUUGUCCGGAUUUAUUGGGCGUAAAGCGAGCGCAGGUGGUUUAUUAAGUCUGGUGUAAAAGGCAGUGGCUCAACCAUUGUAUGCAUUGGAAACUGGUAGACUUGAGUGCAGGAGAGGAGAGUGGAAUUCCAUGUGUAGCGGUGAAAUGCGUAGAUAUAUGGAGGAACACCGGUGGCGAAAGCGGCUCUCUGGCCUGUAACUGACACUGAGGCUCGAAAGCGUGGGGAGCAAACAGG